CUGCACUUAUCCUGGAAGCUAAUAGCUUCAGAGCCAGGUGAUAUAUUAUUAUUGCGAAUGCAGAGUGCAUUUAAGAAAUGGUUUAGAUACCUGUUGGUACCUAGAUUAACACCUAGUUCCUGCAAAUGUUUGCACAUUACACACAUUUGUUAAACUAGUGUGAGUGAAAGUGGAGACUACUCAUUGACUCAGCCAAAACAAGGAAAUGUCAAAAUGGAUACAUGAAUCCAGCACAAAUACCUUCUUUUCAUCACCAUUCCCACCUUGGAAGGAACAAGCCAGAAAAUCUGCCAGUGGAGUGGAGAUACGAAUCUAACUCUGCGGGCUGCCAGAGACAGAUGCCAUCACGGGACAUUCUAGCGCAAGGCCCAAGAUGUGAUCUACACACUUGUUCACAUUUGCCUAAUGUCUUGGUAAAAGCAUUUAUGUUG